GAUGAACGCUGGCGGCGUGCUUAACACAUGCGAGUCGAACGGAGAGGCUCAUGCUUGCCGGGGGACUCGUGUGGAACGCGGGAGUGACACACGUGUGAGCUCCCCUCUGCUCUUCGGGAUAAGCCUGGGACACUGGGUAAUAUCCCGGAUAGGCCCCUGCUUCGGGUUGGGUUGUGGAAAGAUUUAUCGGUGUUGGAUGAGCUCGCGGCCUAUCAGCUUGUUGGUGGGGUAAUGGCCUACCAAGGCGUCGACGGGUAGCCGGCCUGAGAGGGUGUACGGCCACAUUGGGACUGAGAGACGGCCCAGACUCCUACGGGAGGCAGCAGUGGGGAAUAUUGCACAAUGGGCGCAAGCCUGAUGCAGCGACGCCGCGUGGGGGAUGACGGCCUUCGGGUUGUAAACCUCUUUCGCUAGGGACGAAGCGCAAGUGACGGUACCUGGAGAAGAAGCACCGGCUAACCACGUG
rnacentral:rRNA from 1 species